rnacentral:lncRNA from 1 species
CACUCGAUAAACAUCAUCGUCCUGCAAUGACGUAUUAUUUGAUCGCGAACAUAUUUAAGAACUAUACGAUAAAUUUUCUCUUUAUCGCAUACUAGCAUAGUUCUAAGGACUUCAUCAUAGCACAAAAGUUCAAAGAAGAUAUAACUUUGUGAUAAAAAAUAUCAGAAUAAUUUUUAUUUAAUAAUCAAUAAUUCAUAUACAAGGAUGAACUCAAUCAUCACAUGAUUGAUUUUAGGAUAUAAUUCUCAACAAAG